GGUAGUAUGGCCGAGCGGUCCAAGGCGCUGGAUUAAGGCUCCAGUCUUCGGGGGCUAGGGUUCAAUCCUCUGUUGCCA